UGGACAGCGGGAUGGCCAAGACCAUGCUGGGGAUCCCCAGGGAGCUGCCUGGCCAGUAGCUGCCACCCUCAGGGCAGGCCGCCCUCCUGGCCUGGGCUGCUCCCAGUGAGGCCUGCUGCUGGGAAAGUACUAGAAAUAGAAAUAUUUCCACGUAAGCGACUGACACUGCAGAUGCUUCAGUCUUAGCAGGACUGUGCUUCUGCUCAAAUCCCAUCCCUACGAGAGGCCCCAGGUGCAAACAUGCAUUCAGCAGCGCGCUUACAAUUUGGGAUACUUUCUGAAUGUACCUUAUGCCUUCUAAACGCAUUUGAAAAAUUACCACAAGGAAAACAAACAAACAAACAAACAAACACCUGAGAUGUCUCUAGGCUUCAAAUAUAACCCAGUCAGGGGCGUGUCCACCACCCAGCAGAGGAGCCACAGCCAGGAGGAUUCUGGGAGUCUGAUCCCAUGGGGGUGGGGUGCUGCAUGAUGGUCCCACGCAUGUGUCCUGGUGCCACCGAGAAAAAGGACAGUCAGGAUUCGGGACUGAGAAUACCAAGCCCGAGGUCGUGUGGCCAUCACACCAGCAGGGAGCUCCAGCCUUCACAGGCGUGCCCACGAAAGCAGGCGGCACAGCGGCUCCAGGGUGAAGGACGCACACAAGAGGCUGACAUGUGAGCCGUGCACGGGAUGCGUGCGGAAGUGUGCGAGCAUGGCGCAGGGCACAGACACGCGCUGGCCACCGCAGCAGCACCGUCCGCUGAGUGGCCAAACACCCAGCAGCCAUCCCCAGUGGUCCCUCUCUCCUCUCUGGACCCCGCUGGGGAAGGGGGUAGCGGGUCUUUGGAAAACCUCUGCUCAGCGCCCUGCCAGCUGCCUUGCUGGCCCAGCCCAGGCAGGAGGCCUAGAAAGAUCCUCUGCUCCCUCCCUCUAGAAGGAUCCUCUACUCCUUCCUUCUAGAUUGGCUGUGCUAACCCCGACUGCACAUCAAAUUUCCUGGGAGCUUUCCCUACCUGGUGCCUAAGUGGGUUUGUCGGGACUUUGGGUCCUACACCAGGAUAAACAGGGACGAUUGGUCUCUCCAUCUGGCCAAAGCCUGGGAUGCCUGGGGUGGGGCCUGCACCUGUAAUUCUAAUGCUCCAGGUGACUCCAACAUGCAGUUAAGGUGAGACCGUGGGUCUAGACCAGCGGUUCUCAACCUUCCUAA